GCUGCCUGUAAGUCUGGGUGUUGGGGAAGUGACGUCUGGGACCCUUGGGAGAGUGUGGGCUGAAGUCUGUGAGGAGGGCUCCCCUCAACCGUAACUUUGCUGUUGUGUCUUCCCCAGGCAGGGACAGUGCCCAGGGCUCUGAUGUGUCUCUCACAGCUCCUAAAGUGUGACAGAGCUGCUUUCUACAGGACUUUUGCUAAAACAGUCACUACAGCCUUCCCUGGGGACUUCAAGGGUCCCUGACUGCUGCUUCUGUACCCAGCAACUGAAUGUUAUUUAACCAUCUCAGUGUGCCUGCAUUAAUUUAAUAUUACUCAUAAAUAUAUAUAAGUAAAUCAGAAGUGAUUUAGAUUAAAAGCUCCAAGGUGUA